rfam:Dipodomys ordii contig_53838, whole genome shotgun sequence.
UGUGAUGUAGCUCAGUGGCAAAGCGCUUGCCUAGCAAGCGCAACGUCCUGGGUUCGAUCCCCAGUACCAAAA